rnacentral:ncRNA from 1 species
AAAGGGUAAACUUACAGCUGAAAGGUGAGGUAUUCGAGUUGCUGCUUUAUCCCGAGGAAGUUCCGUUUCAAAUGGGCACUUGUGCCCCGUGUGGCGAAAGGGAAGCCGGUUAACAUUCCGGCACCUGGAUGUGGGUUUUGCGCGGCAACGCAACUGAACGUGGAGACGACGGCGGGGCCCCGGGCAGAGUUCUCUUUUCUUCUUAACGAUCUAUCACCCUGAAAACAGUUUGUCUGGAGAUAGGGUUUAAUGGUCGGAAGAGCCCGACACUUCUGUCGGGUCCGGUGCGCUCUCGACGUCCCUUGAAAAUCCGCGGGAGGGAAUAAUUCUCACGCCAGGUCGUACUCAUAACCUCACCAUGG